AUUCAUAUUCUAUUAUAAGAACGAUAGUAAAUCAAAGAAGAGUAACUAAACAAGUUGCCUGGGGCUACUUUAACUUAUGCACCAAUGGCAGGCACAGGAUUCACGUGGUGCUUUGUCUAACUAUCAUUUUUCUCUUUCUACUCAAAGGCAGAUGCAGCAGGAUGCACUUAAACAUUAGUCUUGUCAAAUUGAUGCUGGAUUUCUCUUCUUUCCUGAAAGCAAUUAUACUAGCACAAUAUCAUUAUUAUUGUUGAAGAAGCUGAGACUAGCUCUGUGCUCAAGAUGCCAAAAUAAUUUAGUCACUGCCAAUGAAUAGUUCAGCAUUUUACAAACACGGCUUUACUUGGACUAGUCUGAAUCUUUUGAGAUUUUUCAGAAAUAAAAUAUAAGCCACUUGCUCAAUCAACAAAAGCAAUCAAAGAGAAAUGAAGUCAAGCUUCAAUGCAAAUAAAGGUUAGGACAAUAGUCAUUUGGGGAUAGAAUAACACGAAGCUCACUACUGAGAAUUAUUUUAAGAACAAAGAAAUGCAAUUUAGUCUAUUUAGUGGAAGAACACCCUAGCUAGAAUUUAAUCAUGGAAGAAAUAAACAUACCUGGGCUUAAGUGCUUGAACGGGGUGUUACUCCAUCAAACUUCUGGCAAUAUUUUUUUUUUUUUGAGACAGAGUCUCUCUCUGUCACCCAGGCUGGUGUGCAGUGGUGCAAUCUCAGCCCACUGCAACCUCUGCCUCCCAGGGUUCAAGCGAUUAUCCUGCCUCAGCCUCCCAAGUAGCUGGGAUUACAGGCACCCGCCACCAUGCCCAGCUAAAUUUUGUGUUUUUUGUAGAGACGGGUUUUCACCGUGUUGGCCAGACUGUUCUCAAACUCCUGGCCUCAAAUUAUCCACCCACCAUGGCCUCCCAAAGUGCUGGGAUUACAGGCAUGAUCCACCGCACCUGGCUCUGGCAAUGAAUUUUUAAAGCUACCUUUUUCCACUCCUGUUAUGCUGCCUUCAUUCACAUACAAAUUACAAAGCUUCUACUACAUGCCGGUGCUUGCUGGUCAUGUGGAGGAUGAGGCACCUACUUUGGAAGGCUGAAAAUUGUUGUGACAAAGUUAUGCAUAGAGUGCUAAGAGACAAGAGGAGUAACGUCUGGCCAAAUUCAGAAAAAUCAAAGUGAGUGUUGCAGAGGAGGAAAUUUUUUGCCAAAGUCCUAAAACAUAUAGGAGUUAAGCCACAUGAAGAAGGGAGCUCAGGCCAUUCUUGGGAAGAGGAUACCAUUUCUGAAUGAUAGUUUCAGGCAACUACUGGAAUACAGGCUACAUGUAUACGAAGAGUGAGAGAGGAAGUUAACAAGGAAGGUGUCCGAUCAUUGACAGCCUUGUAGGUUAAGCUGAGAAGCUUAAAUUUCAUCUUGGGCACUAUGGGGAGUCACUGGCAGAAUGUAAAGAAGUAGAAUAACAAGAUUUGCAUGUUAUAAAAUUUUCUUUACAUGCAGUUUUAUCUAUUGAUACAUUCAACAAAUAUUUAUUAGCAUUUACUAUAAGAAAUGUGCAGGAAAGGAAAAUGCGCAAUAAGCAAUAAAGUCAGGGUCCCUGCCCUCAUGGAGUUUAUGGUUCCCCCAUAGAGACAGGUAAUCAAUUGUUUAUUACUCAAGGAGACCAGCUGGGAAUCUAUUUAUUUCAAUAAUCAUGGUAAGAAGUGAGGAGGGUCACAAUUGAGGCAGUAGUAGCAGAAGUAGAAAAGAAAGGAUGCAUUUUUUUUAAGAUAGGAGUAGAAGUAACAAGAUUUAGUAAUUCUGAUGACCAAAACCCAGAUAUGAUAUUCUAAUAAUAACUAUGUAGCUGAUAAAGAGAUUUCACCUACUGAGUGGACAUUCUAUACCAGGUACUGAAACAAGCACUCUGUUUUACUGAAUGCUUGUGGAAACUCUGCAAAAAUUAUUUGUCAAUUUUAUCAGAGACUGAGGAUGUGAUAGAUUUCAAAAAUGAUUUUAACACUUUGCACAAUCUCCCAUCAAAAGACAGAGCCUAUUUCCUCACAAGGCUUGGUCUUGUGGCUUACUUUGAUCAAUAGGACACAAUGGGAAUGACAUUCUACCAGCUUAGUCCAGCCCUGUCUCGUGGGCCCUUCUUCUGUUGUAUCCCCAUUACACAGAGCAAGUAUAAGUGAUAAUAAGACCAAUAAAUAAAACAUGGAAUGAACCUCAUGCAUAAAGAUUUCCUAAAUUUUGUAAAACUUUUCAGGUUCCCCAGAAAAGACCUUACUAUUACAUAAGUUUUAAAUCACAUAUUCUCUGUUUCUUGGUCCACAUCACUCCCUACCUUGCCAUCAUGACACCUUAAUUCCUCAGGAAAACUGAUUGCCCAUUUGGAUCAGGAGAAAAUGCUAAUGUACAUGAACAAAUCAAGAAAUAUCGGCACCUUUUAGGAUCCUCUGUUAAGUUCUUGGGGCACAAGCAGUGAACCUCUGAUGAUGUUUCAUAGAAAUCUAUGAAUGUAAUUCUAUGGACUUGUAAUAGUUUACCAUAAUAACCAUGAGCCAAGAAUUCUGCUCUUUGGAGCCAUUCAUGGAAUAAUACAUCAGAGCUAGAAGAGGAAU
rnacentral:lncRNA from 10 species